rnacentral:tRNA from 1 species
GCUUUUAAAGGAAAACAGUUAUCCCCUGGUCUUAGGCUCCAGUAUUCUUGGUGCAAAUCCAAGUGAAAGCU